GACAGUUUGUUCAUUUUUUAACGAAAACAAACAUCCAGCCGGCAUCCCGAAUCGUCGAACUCUGUGGCCUGGGGCCCGGUUUUCGGGAUGGUGUUCACAUACCCGUUCAAAGCCUGACAAAGCAUUCGGCCAGCAGUUCAAAAGUCAGCCAUUAUUUUCGCUUUUUACAGCUCGCAACAGCUCAGCAAUUUGUCAGGCUAACGCGUCGCCAAUUGACGCCAUUUUUUUAUGAUGCCCCGUUUUUAUGCUGCCCUUUUGGGUGGGGCAUACUCGCCUGGAUAUGGGCAUGGAUACGGCUGAGGAUGGUGGCGAUGGUGGAGGUACGUGUAUGGAUGGGGGCGGGAAUGAGGAGCAGCUGGUGCCGGAAUGGAAUGCCAGCUUGGCAGAAUGUAAUCGGACAAUGGCAACUUGCCAGCAGCGGAAAAAAGGAGAAUAUGGAUCAAGGGUUCGCUUCAGUCAAUCAGCAGAGCCGACAAAAGCGGAAGCUUAUCUCGAAAACACUAAGCAGUAAGGAGCAGCAGUAAGCAGCACGCAGCACUAAGCAGUCCGCAUUCAGCAAGCAGUGGAAUGGCAUCCGGAGCCCAUUUGCAUGCCAACGUAUUGGGGGGCAGGCUAGCAUGAAAAUAAUUUUGCCGGCAUGUCGGAGGACGUGCCGAUAAAUGUCAAAACACGCCAAUAUGCGAAUAUAUAUUUCCAUAUUAUACAUCGCUAUCUUAUCCUAUUUUUUCCGCCUCCUUCCCUUUAUAU
ensembl:ncRNA lncRNA:CR44279 long non-coding RNA:CR44279